GAUGAACGCUGGCGGCGUGCCUAAUACAUGCAAGUCGAGCGAACAGACGAGGAGCUUGCUCCUCUGACGUUAGCGGCGGACGGGUGAGUAACACGUGGAUAACCUACCUAUAAGACUGGGAUAACUUCGGGAAACCGGAGCUAAUACCGGAUAACAUGUUGAACCGCAUGGAUCAACAGUGAAAGACGGUUUUGCUGUCACUUAUAGAUGGAUCCGCGCCGCAUUAGCUAGUUGGUAAGGUAACGGCUUACCAAGGCAACGAUGCGUAGCCGACCUGAGAGGGUGAUCGGCCACACUGGAACUGAGACACGGUCCAGACUCCUACGGGAGGCAGCAGUAGGGAAUCUUCCGCAAUGGGCGAAAGCCUGACGGAGCAACGCCGCGUGAGUGAAGAAGGUCUUCGGAUCGUAAAACUCUGUUAUUAGGGAAGAACAAAUGUGUAAGUAACUAUGCACGUCUUGACGGUACCUAAUCAGAAAGCCACGGCUAACUACGUG
rnacentral:rRNA from 1 species